GACGUAGGGGGCAAGCGUUGUCCGGAAUCAUUGGGCGUAAAGCGCGCGUAGGCGGCCCGGUAAGUCCGCUGUGAAAGUCAAAGGCUCAACCUUUGAAUGUCAGCGGAUACUGCCGGGCUAGAGUCCGGAAGAGGCGAGUGGAACUCCUGGUGUAGCGGUGGAAUGCGCAGAUAUCAGGAAGAACACCAACGGCGAAGGCAGCUCGCUGGGACGGAACUGACGCUAAGGCGCGAAAGCGUGGGGAGCGAACAGG
rnacentral:rRNA from 1 species